rnacentral:rRNA from 1 species
AGCCUGAACGCUGGCGGCGUGGCUAAGACAUGCAAGUCGAACGGGUGUAGCAAUACACCAGUGGCGCACGGGUGAGUAAUGUAUCGCUAACGUGCCCUGGAGCCUGGGAUAGCUGUCCGAAAGGGCAGGUAAUACCGGAUGAGACCACGGAGAGGCAUCUCUCAGUGCUCAAAAGCCGCAAGGCAC